GAUGAAGAACGUAGCGAAAUGCGAUAAGUAGUGUGAAUUGCAGAAUUCAGUGAAUCAUCGAAUCUUUGAACGCACAUUGCGCCCCUUGGUAUCCCGAGGGGCAUGCCUGUUCGAGCGUUAUUUCACCACUCAAGCCUGGCUUGGUGUUGGGCGACGUCCUCUUUGGGGACGCGCCUCGAAACGCUCGGCGGCGUGGCACCGGCUUUAAGCGUAGCAGAAUCUUUCGCUUUGGAAGUCGGGGCCCCGUCUGCCGGAAGACCUGCUCGCAAGGUUGACCUCGGAUCAGGCAGGGAUACCCGCUGAACUUAAGCAUAUCAAUAAGCGGAGGA
rnacentral:misc_RNA from 1 species